UACGUAGGGACCAAGCGUUGUUCGGAAUUACUGGGCGUAAAGGGCGCGUAGGCGGCCUUCUAAGUCGAACGUGAAAUCCCCGGGCUCAACCCGGGAACUGCGUCCGAUACUGGAAGGCUUGAAUCCGGGAGAGGGAUGCGGAAUUCCAGGUGUAGCGGUGAAAUGCGUAGAUAUCUGGAGGAACACCGGUGGCGAAGGCGGCAUCCUGGACCGGUAUUGACGCGUGACGGCGCGAAAGCCAGGGGAGCAAAGCGGG
rnacentral:rRNA from 1 species